rnacentral:rRNA from 1 species
CUGCUACCCUGUAGGACCUACCCUGGACCUACCCCGUAGCUGCUACCCGGUAAGCACGCUAAACGGCCUGCCGGCGGUCUUCUAAACUCUUGUCAGUUAUUGUGAAAUUCUGAAUAUCUAAAACAUAAUAAGUUAAAACUUUCAACAACGGAUCUCUUGGUUCUGGCAUCGAUGAAGAACGCAGCGAAAUGCGAUAAGUAAUGUGAAUUGCAGAAUUCAGUGAAUCAUCGAAUCUUUGAACGCACAUUGCGCCCAUUAGUAUUCUAGUGGGCAUGCCUGUUCGAGCGUCAUUUUGACCCUUAAGCCCCUGUUGCUUAGUGUUGGGAGUCUACGACUAUGGCGUAGCUCCUUAAAGUUAGUUGGCGGAGUUAGGGUAUACUCUCAGCGUAGUAAAAAUUUUCCUCGCUUUUGUAGUUAUCCCAACUAUAGCCAUUAAACCCUUUUAUUUUUUUUCUAAAGGUUGACCUCGGAUCAGGUAGGAAUACCCGCUGAACUUAAGCAUAUCAAUAAGCGGAGGAAAAGAAACCAACAGGGAUUGCCUUAGUAACGGCGAGUGAAGCGGCAACAGCUCAAAUUUGAAAUCUGGCCUUCGGGUCCGAGUUGUAAUUUGUAGAGGAUGCUUUUGGCGCGGUGCCUUCCAAGUUCCCUGGAACGGGACGCCUUAGAGGGUGAGAGCCCCGUACGGUUGGACGCCUAGCCUCUGUAAAGCUCCUUCGACGAGUCGAGUAGUUUGGGAAUGCUGCUCUAAAUGGGAGGUAAACUUCUUCUAAAGCUAAAUACCGGCCAGAGACCGAUAGCGCACAAGUAGAGUGAUCGAAAGAUGAAAAGCACUUUGAAAAGAGGGUUAAAUAGCACGUGAAAUUGUUGAAAGGGAAGCGUUUGCGACCAGACUUUCUCUAGGCGGAUCAUCCGGUGUUCUCACCGGUGCACUUCGCCUAGUUUAGGCCAGCAUCGGUUUCUGUAGGGGGAUAAAGGCCUGGGGAAUGUGGCUCCCUCGGGAGUGUUAUAGCCCCUUGCGUAAUACCUUUGCGGGGACCGAGGACCGC